rnacentral:lncRNA from 1 species
GGGAUAGUACAGAGGGGGACUAAGAAAACCAAGUACUGAUUUGAAAGCUGAUCCUUGUAAGAAAAUUAGCAUUUCUGGCAGCUCUAUAACGUGCCAGGUACUAACAUGUACAGGUACCUAGGUCAUCUCAGUGGUUUUCUUCCUAAAGGAUAAAACUACUCCCAUUAAACAAGAUCAUCUGUGUGAAGCCUGUGCCCAGUAGCAGGCGUCAGUCAAAGCGCAGGGAAUGGCAUCUCUGAGCAUUUUAAUUAUGAUCUGCAGUGGCCCUUGAAGCCCAGGUGGGUUAGAUGUUGCCAAGGAACUAGUGGGGGAGCCAGAAGGUGAACCUGACUCUCCUCGCUUGAAUGCUCCCCUCUUCUCAUUGAGAGAAGAGGGUGAUACACAACCCUGCUUCUCCCCUUCUUGGGGCGUCGGUGCUGUCAGCUUCCUCCCCGUCAUCCCCCGUGCCUCCCGACAGUAAAACUUCUAAUGGUUCCGCUUGAGUAAGUUUACUUCCUGCUGAUCACAGACCAUUCACACUACGGCUGCCCCCAGCGCUGUCGAGAUGCGUACGCCUGCACGCAUUGUGGACGAGGUCCACUCCCCUUCAGACCUGCAUCCGUUAGUGACUGUGCUUUUGGAAUCUGGAGUUCAGCCUCGCUCUCUUUUCCUUGCAGGUUCUCCUCCCUCAUGGUCUACAGGCUGCCUGUCGAGGAUGUGAGACCGUUAUCGCAGGCUUUCUUCAAAUUAGAAGCAGUGAAGCGGAGCUUCGACCUGGAGGAGUACAGCCUCUCGCAGUCCACCCUGGAGCAGGUGCGUCCGCUUUAGGGAUUUUACGGCCUCCGUGGAAUGUGUGCGUAUUAUGUGCGUACGCUCACUCUGCACUCCCUUGGAGCCACCGGGGGCAGUGUGACGCCCUUCUCUUUAUUUUUUCCCUCCAUUGCGGGUGUUUCUGGAGCUCUCCAAGGAGCAGGAGUUGGACGGUUUUGAUGAGGAAGUUGAUCUCUCAAUAGAGUGGAAGCUCCUGCAGGGAGAGCCCUAAAGCCCAAAUACUCGAUCUUUAAGAUAGUAUUUUAUGGCAUUAAUAUAUCUUAUCUCAGAUGUGGCU